AACAACAAAGCUAUCCAAUUCUGAACCCCAUCUGAUUGGUUUCUGAGGUGUGUUGCUCGAAACUUCUCUGGAAUACAAUCCUUCAUCCAUCUACUCAUGAGAAACCAGACAAGGUUGGGUCUCCUUCCUCAAUAUGAUCAGGUCCUUUUUAUUGACUCAUAAUUACACCUCCUUUUCAAAAAUAUCAAGCUGAUGUAAAGGCCAGUGACUGAUUGAAGUUAGUGAAAUAAACAACCUCACAAAUGUCAUUUUACUACUGGAGAAAAAGUAUCAACAUAGUUAACGCCAUGUUUGUGCGUAGCCUUUCACUACAAGGUGUACUUUUAUGAGCGACAAAACCAUCAGGAUUAACUUUAAUUGUAACCACCCAUUUGCAACUGAUAUACUUUUUUCGUGCAGGAGAGAAACUAAAUCCCAAGUACAAUUAUCGUCUAAUGUAAUCAUCUCCUCCACCAUUGCAAACACCAACAAGAUGAGAAUAGGCUUAAUGAUACAAACUCUAAUGAUGCAAUGAAAGAACAUGCAGAAGACAACUAAUGGUUAUAUGAAACAGAAGAGGAAAUAAGAUGAGCACACUUAAGUUUACCUUUACGAAGAGCAAUAGGAAGAUCAUCACUCAUUUCUGGAUCCAAUGACGAAGAAGCCUUAGGGGUAGGGCAUGGAAUUGAAGAAGGUUGUCGUCGAUCAUAGACUUCAGUGAUGGGUUGACAAAUAGAAGUAAACACACGUGAAGAUGAACCACAAAGAGGAUUAGAAGGAGAGAUAACAUUGUAG
rnacentral:lncRNA from 1 species